rnacentral:rRNA from 1 species
CGGCGGACGGGUGAGUAACGCGUGGGUAACCUGCCUCAUACAGGGGGAUAACAGUUAGAAAUGACUGCUAAUACCGCAUAAGACCACGGUACCGCAUGGUACAGUGGUAAAAACUCCGGUGGUAUGAGAUGGACCCGCGUCUGAUUAGGGAGUUGGUGGGGUAACGGCCUACCAAGCCGACGAUCAGUAGCCGACCUGAGAGGGUGACCGGCCACAUUGGGACUGAGACACGGCCCAG